GGAGGAAAAGAAACCAACAGGGAUUGCCCUAGUAACGGCGAGUGAAGCGGCAACAGCUCAAAUUUGAAAUCUGGCGCAAGCCCGAGUUGUAAUUUGUAGAGGAUGCUUCUGGGUAGCGACCGAUCUAAGUUCCUUGGAACAGGACGUCAUAGAGGGUGAGAAUCCCGUAUGUGACCGGCCCGCACCCUUUACGUAGCUCCUUCGACGAGUCGAGUUGUUUGGGAAUGCAGCUCUAAAUGGGAGGUAAAUUUCUUCUAAAGCUAAAUACCGGCCAGAGACCGAUAGCGCACAAGUAGAGUGAUCGAAAGAUGAAAAGUACUUUGGAAAGAGAGUUAAAAAGCACGUGAAAUUGUUGAAAGGGAAGCGCCUGCAACCAGACUUCGCGGCAGUGUUCCGCCGGUCUUCUGACCGGUUCAUUCUCUGUCGCGAGGCCAUCAUCGUCUGGGCCCGCCGGAUAAGACCUUAGGAAUGUAGCUCACCUUCGGGGGAGUGUUAUAGCCUAGGGUGAUGCGGCGAGGCUCGGGCGAGGUCCGCGCUUCGGCAAGGAUGAUGGCGUAAUGGUUGUCGGCGGCCCGUCUUGAAACACGGACCAAGGAGUCUAACAUCUAUGCGAGUGUUCGGGUGUCAAACCCCUACGCGUAAUGAAAGUGAACGGAGGUGGGAACCGCAAGGUGCACCAUCGACCGAUCCUGAUGUCCUCGGAUGGAUUUGAGUAAGAGCAUAGCUGUUGGGACCCGAAAGAUGGUGAACUAUGCCUGAAUAGGGUGAAGCCAGAGGAAACUCUGGUGGAGGCUCGCAGCGGUUCUGACGUGCAAAUCGAUCGUCAAAUUUGGGUAUAGGGGCGAAAGACUAAUC
rnacentral:rRNA from 1 species